ACGACAUGAUGGGGACAUUUUCUGAUGAGAUCCUCUAAUCAUUCCCAUAAUUCAUGGAAAUGCUCACCAUCUUGUUGCGAGAAGCUAGUGAGAUCUUGUCUUAUUUG
rfam:Cephalotus follicularis DNA, scaffold: scaffold5597, isolate: St1.